rnacentral:lncRNA from 10 species
GUUGAAUGACUGGAUAAACUUGACGCCUCUGGGUUAGUGUGCACGCAAGUAAGAUGCCAUCGACUGGCGGGACAAGAUGCGGAAGCAAACGGAAAUCAGUGUGGGAGAGGCACAGGUGCACGGUGUCCUAGGAUAUGCUGAACAGUCACUAUUUGCCAGCGAUGUUUUCCCAGAGGAAGUCAAGCUUGAGUGGGGCUUGGGAAUUUGGGACUUGCAACCAUUCCUGUUACUGAAGAGGACACUGGGUCAGAGAGGUGAGUCGACCUUCCCAAGGUCACAAAGUCCUUGCAGUCUGAGUAAGAAAGACGUGGGCUGUACCUGAUGUGCUCAAAGCUGUAGCUCCAGAAUCAACUCAAUGUUUUAACAAAUGUGGUGAAUGAAUAAAUAAAGGGUGAAGACAGAGGUUGAAGACAGACCUUACGGACUCAAGCAGGAGAAAGAACUUGAUAUUGAUUUAUAAACAAAGUGGAAUUUGGAAAUGAUCCCCAAAGAGAAAAGUUUAGCUCUACUGAGAUGAAGAACACUCCAGGAAGAUGCCCUGUUGUCCUAUUAUGGUUUCAAAUACUCCGGGAGAACCUGGCUGGAUUAGCAAGUCUUAGAGCCUUCUAUCAUCUCAAAAUCCUUCAGGUUUAUCAUUUGGCUUUAAAUUCUUUUUUUUUUUUUUCCAAGAUGGGGUUUCACUCUUGUUGCCCAGGCUGGAGCACAAUGGCUUGAUCUCGGCUCACCACAACUUCCACCUCCCGGG